CCUACGGGUGGCAGCAGUGGGGAAUCUUGCACAAUGGAGGCAACUCUGAUGCAGCGACGCCGCGUGAGCGAUGAAGCCCUUCGGGGUGUAAAGCUCUUUCGGCAGGGACGAUAAUGACGGUACCUGAAGAAGAAGCUGCGGCUAACUACGUGCCAGCAGCCGCGGUAAUACGUAGGCAGCGAGCGUUGUUCGGAAUUACUGGGCGUAAAGAGUGUGUAGGCGGUGCUCUAAGUUCGGUGUGAAAUCUCCUGGCUCAACUGGGAGGGUGCGCCGGAAACUGGAGUGCUUGAGCGUGGGAGAGGAAAGCGGAAUUCCUGGUGUAGCGGUGAAAUGCGUAGAUAUCAGGAGGAACACCUGUGGUGUAGACGGCUUUCUGGACCAUAGCUGACGCUGAGACACGAAAGCGUGGGUAGCAAACAGGAUUAGAUACCCUUGUAGUC
rnacentral:rRNA from 1 species